AGUGAACGCUGGCGGUAGGCCUAACACAUGCAAGUCGAACGGCAGCACAGUAAGAGCUUGCUCUUACGGGUGGCGAGUGGCGGACGGGUGAGGAAUACAUCGGAAUCUACUUUUUCGUGGGGGAUAACGUAGGGAAACUUACGCUAAUACCGCAUACGACCUACGGGUGAAAGCAGGGGAUCUUCGGACCUUGCGCGAUUGAAUGAGCCGAUGUCGGAUUAGCUGGUUGGCGGGGUAAAGGCCCACCAAGGCGACGAUCCGUAGCUGGUCUGAGAGGAUGAUCAGCCACACUGGAACGGAGACACGGUCCAGACUCCUACGGGAGGCAGCAGUGGGGAAUAUUGGACAAUGGGCGCAAGCCUGAUCCAGCCAUACCGCGUGGGUGAAGAAGGCCUUCGGGUUGUAAAGCCCUUUUGUUGGGAAAGAAAAGCAGCAGGUUAAUACCCCGCUGUUCUGACGGUACCCAAAGAAUAAGCACCGGCUAACUUCGUG
rnacentral:rRNA from 1 species